rnacentral:tRNA from 1 species
CGGCGGCUAGUAUAAUACAAAACCUCUAAUUUCGGCUUAGAAAAUCCCGACGACACCCCGGGGCCGCCAC